AUCCAGCUGACGAGUCCCGAAUAGGACGAAAUGAUGGUUCUGGAU
rnacentral:hammerhead_ribozyme from 1 species